rnacentral:rRNA from 1 species
CACCAGCCCCUCGAGUGGUGGGGAUGAUUAUUUGGCCUAAAGCGUCCGUAGCCGGCCGGGUAAGUUUCCCGUUAAAUCCAGCGUCUCAAGCGUUGGACUGCGGGAAAUACUGCCUGGCUAGAGAGUGGGAGAGGUCAGCGGUAUUCUGGGGGUAGGGGCGAAAUCCUUUGAUCCCCGGAGGACCACCAGUGGCGAAGGCUGCUGACUAGAACACGUCUGACGGUCAGGGACGAAAGCUGGGUAGCGAACCGGAUUAGAUACCCGGGUAGUCCCAGCCGUAAACGAUGCAUGCUAGGUGUUGGGUUGGCCACGAGCCACCCCAGUGCCGCAGGGAAGCCGUUAAGCAUGCCGCCUGGGAAGUACGAUCGCAAGAUUGAAACUUAAAGGAAUUGGCGGGGAGCACCACCAGGCGUGAAGCCUGCGGUUU